UAGAUAUGAAAGAAAUGGUACACUCUAAA
rnacentral:piRNA from 1 species